rnacentral:misc_RNA from 1 species
GAUGAAGAACGUAGCGAAAUGCGAUACGUAAUGUGAAUUGCAGAAUUCAGUGAAUCAUCGAGUCUUUGAACGCACAUUGCGCCCCCUGGUAUUCCGGGGGGCAUGCCUGUCCGAGCGUCAUUGCUGCCCUCAAGCACGGCUUGUGUGUUGGGCCUCCGUCCUCCUCCCGGGGGACGGGCCCGAAAGGCAGCGGCGGCACCGCGUCCGGUCCUCGAGCGUAUGGGGCUUCGUCACCCGCUCUUGUAGGCCCGGCCGGCGCUUGCCGACACAUCAAUCUUUUUUCCAGGUUGACCUCGCAUCAGGUAGGGAUACCCGCUGAACUUAAGCAUAUCAAUAAGCGGAGGA